ensembl:snoRNA SNORA63 Small nucleolar RNA SNORA63
CAGCAGGAUUGAGACUACAAUGUAGCUGUUAGGAACUGCGUUGUUGUUUGCCCUGCUCAGAUUAAAGUUGUUUCUUAACUAUACCUGUCUGCUGUACUCCUGUAGCAGCCAGGGAUGCUUUGUCUCAUACAU